rnacentral:lncRNA from 1 species
GGUUCGCAGAGGAAAUCGGACGCGGUUCUUUCGGCACGGUGUACAGAGGAGUUGUGGAAUGUGACGAUGACAGUGAGAUCUCCAUUGCGGUGAAGAGACUGGACAAGGCACAGAUAUCAGAGGGUGAGAAGGAGUUCAGAACAGAACUAAAUAUCAUCGGUCAAACCAACCAUAGAAAUCUUGUGAAAUUGCUCGGAUAUUGCAACCAAGCUAACCACCGGAUCCUGGUGUACGAGUUCAUGAGCAAGGGUUCUUUAUCGAGCCUUCUGUUUACAGGAGCGAACAAGCCAAAAUGGCGCCAACGUUUCCGAAUCCUG